UACAGAGGUCCCGAGCGUUGUUCGGAUUCACUGGGCGUAAAGGGUGCGUAGGUGGUUGGGUAAGUUUGAUGUGAAAGCUCAGGGCUUAACCCUGAAAUGGCAUUGAAUACUACUUAACUGGAGGUUUGGAGGGGGGACUGGAAUUCUUGGUGUAGCAGUGAAAUGCGUAGAUAUCAAGAGGAACACCAGUGGCGAAGGCGAGUCCCUGGACAACACCUGACACUGAGGCACGAAAGCUAGGGGAGCAAACAGG
rnacentral:rRNA from 1 species